AUUGAACGCUGGCGGCAGGCCUAAUACAUGCAAGUCGAACGGUAACAUAAGAAAGCUUGCUUUCUUGAUGACGAGUGGCGGACGGGUGAGUAAUAUUUGGGAAGCUACCUGAUAGAGGGGGACAACAGUUGGAAACGACUGCUAAUACCGCAUACAGCCUGAGGGUGAAAGCAGCAAUGCGCUAUCAGAUGCGCCCAAACGGGAUUAGCUAGUAGGUGAGGUAAAGGCUCACCUAGGCGACGAUCUCUAGCUGGUCUGAGAGGAUGAUCAGCCACAUUGGGACUGAGACACGGCCCAGACUCCUACGGGAGGCAGCAGUAGGGAAUAUUGCACAAUGGAGGAAACUCUGAUGCAGCCAUGCCGCGUGUGUGAAGAAGGCC
rnacentral:rRNA from 1 species